rnacentral:rRNA from 1 species
UAAUACGUAGGGUCCGAGCGUUGUCCGGAAUUAUUGGGCGUAAAGGGCUCGUAGGCGGUUUGUCGCGUCGGGAGUGAAAACGCAGGCCUUAAUUCUGCGCUUGCUUUCGAUACGGGCAGACUAGAGGUAUGCAGGGGAGAACGGAAUUCCUGGUGUAGCGGUGAAAUGCGCAGAUAUCAGGAGGAACACCGGUGGCGAAGGCGGUUCUCUGGGCAUGUCCUGACGCUGAGGAGCGAAAGUGUGGGGAGCGAACAGG